AUUGAACGCUGGCGGCAUGCCUUACACAUGCAAGUCGAACGGCAGCACGGGAGCAAUCCUGGUGGCGAGUGGCGAACGGGUGAGUAAAGUAUCGGAACGUGCCCAGUCGUGGGGGAUAACGUAGCGAAAGUUACGCUAAUACCGCAUACGAUCUAUGGAUGAAAGCGGGGGAUCGCAAGACCUCGCGCGAUUGGAGCGGCCGAUAUCAGAUUAGGGAGUUGGUGGGGUAAAGGCUCACCAAGCCGACGAUCCGUAGCCGGUCUGGAGGGACCAACAGCCACACUGGGACUUGGACCCGGCCCAGACUCCUACGGGAGGCAACAGUGGGGAAUUUUGGACAAUGGGCGAAAGCCUGAUCCAGCCAUGCCGCGUGCAGGAUGAAGGCCUUCGGGUUGUAAACUGCUUUUGUACGGAACGAAAAGGUUUGGCCUAAUAAGCUGAGCUCAUGACGGUACCGUAAGAAUAAGCACCGGCUAACUACGUGCCAGCCGCCGCGGUAA
rnacentral:rRNA from 1 species